CGGGGGGCAGCACGAUGUAGCAAUACAUUGGUGGCGACCGGCGCACGGGUGAGUAACGCGUAUGCAACCUACCUAUCAGAGGGGAAUAACCCGGCGAAAGUCGGACUAAUACCGCAUAAAACAGGGGUUCCACAUGGAAAUAUUUGUUAAAGAAUUAUCGCUGAUAGAUGGGCAUGCGUUCCAUUAGAUAGUUGGUGAGGUAACGGCUCACCAAGUCCACGAUGGAUAGGGGUUCUGAGAGGAAGGUCCCCCACACUGGUACUGAGACACGGACCAGACUCCUACGGGAGGCAGCAGUGAGGAAUAUUGGUCAAUGGGCGAGAGCCUGAACCAGCCAAGUCGCGUGAAGGAUGAAGGAUCUAUGGUUUGUAAACUUCUUUUAUAUGGGAAUAAAGUGAGGAACGUGUUCCUUUUUGUAUGUACCAUAUGAAUAAGCAUCGGCUAACUCCGUGCCAGCAGCCGCGGUAAUACGGAGGAUGCGAGCGUUAUCCGGAUUUAUUGGGUUUAAAGGGUGCGUAGGUGGUUAAUUAAGUCAGCGGUGAAAGUUUGUGGCUCAACCAUAAAAUUGCCGUUGAAACUGGUUGACUUGAGUAUAUUUGAGGUAGGCGGAAUGCGUGGUGUAGCGGUGAAAUGCAUAGAUAUCACGCAGAACUCCGAUUGCGAAGGCAGCUUACUAAACUAUAACUGACACUGAAGCACGAAAGCGUGGGGAUCAAACAGGAUUAGAUACCCUGGUAGUCCACGCAGUAAACGAUGAUUACUAGCUGUUUGCG
rnacentral:rRNA from 1 species